rnacentral:rRNA from 1 species
GGACAAAAUUUCCGAAGUAGCGGCGAGCGAAAUGGAAAGAGCCCAAAACCGAAUGAUAAUGUCGCAAGAUAUUAUUAAUCGGGGUUGUAAGGUGAUAACGACGUUUUAUUACGUAAAGAGUUACAAAAUGUAUUGAUAGUAGAAGUUGUUGGAAAGCAACGCCAAAGACGGUGAUAGCCCGGUACACGAAAUUAAUAUAUCUCUUUUGUUGUCAUUCUUGAGUACCUCAAGACACGAAUAGCUUGAGGGAAUCCGCCGGAACUAACCGGCAAGGCUAAAUACAUGUAGAGAUCGAUAGUGAACUAGUACCGUGAGGGAAAGGUGAAAAGUAGUCCGAAGGACAGUGAAAUAGACCUGAAACCAUAUGUUUACAAAGAGUCAGAGCGGGCCUCGGGUCCGCCAUGGCGUGCCUAUUGAAGAAUGAGCCAACGAGUUAUGUAUGCUGCUUAG